rnacentral:rRNA from 1 species
UACGUAGGGGGCAAGCGUUAUCCGGAAUUACUGGGUGUAAAGGGAGCGUAGACGGUAAUGUAAGUCUGGAGUGGAAGGCGGGGGCCCAGCCCCCGGACUGCUCUGGAAACUAUGUUACUAGAGUGCAGGAGAGGUAAGCGGAAUUCCUAGUGUAGCGGUGAAAUGCGUAGAUAUUAGGAGGAACACCAGUGGCGAAGGCGGCUUACUGGACUGUAACUGACGUUGAGGCUCGAAAGCGUGGGGAGCAAACAGG